rnacentral:tRNA from 1 species
GCGAGAAUGGCGGAAUUGGCAGACGCACUAGACUUAGGAUCUAGCGCCUCAGGCGUAGGGGUUCAAGUCCCCUUUCUCGCACCA